rnacentral:rRNA from 1 species
ACGGAAGGCAGCAGUGGGGAAUAUUGCACAAUGGGGGAAACCCUGAUGCAGCGACGCCGCGUGAGUGAAGAAGUUAUUCGUAAUGUAAAGCUCUAUCAGCAGGGAAGAAAAUGACGGUACCUGACUAAGAAGCCCCGGCUAACUACGUGCCAGCAGCCGCGGUAAUACGUAGGGGGCAAGCGUUAUCCGGAUUUACUGGGUGUAAAGGGAGCGUAGACGGUCUGGCAAGUCUGAUGUGAAAGGCAGGGGCUCAACUCCUGGACUGCAUUGGAAACUGUCAGUCUUGAGUGUCGGAGAGGUAAGCGGAAUUCCUAGUGUAGCGGUGAAAUGCGUAGAUAUUAGGAGGAACACCAGUGGCGGAGGCGGCUUACUGGACGAUAACUGACGUUGAGGCUCGAAAGCGUGGGGAGCAAACAGGAUUAGAUACCCUGGUA